rnacentral:rRNA from 1 species
GAUGAACGCUGGCGGCGUGCCUAAUACAUGCAAGUCGAGCGAACCACUUCGGUGGUGAGCGGCGAACGGGUGAGUAACACGUAGGUGAUCUACCCAUCAGACGGGGACAACGAUUGGAAACGAUCGCUAGUACCGGAUAGGACGAAAGUUUAAAGGUGCUUCUGGCACCGCUGAUGGAUGAGCCUGCGGCGCAUUAGCUAGUAGGUAGGGUAAAGGCCUACCAAGGCGACGAUGCGUAGCCGACCUGAGAGGGUGAACGGCCACACUGGGACUGAGACACGGCCCAGACUCCUACGGGAGGCAGCAGUAGGGAAUCUUCGGCAAUGGGCGAAAGCCUGACCGAGCAACGCCGCGUGAAUGAUGAAGGCCUUCGGGUUGUAAAAUUCUGUUAUAAGGGAAGAACGACUUUAGUAGGAAAUGGCUAGAGUGUGACGGUACCUUAUGAGAAAGCCACGGCUAACUACGUGCCAGCCGCCGCAGUAA